UUGCCUACGGGACGCAGCAGUGGGGAAUAUUGGGCAAUGGACGCAAGCCUGACCCAGCAACGCCGCGUGUAGGAAGAAGGCUUUCGGGUUGUAAACUUCUUUUCUCAGGGACGAAGCAAAUGACGGUACCUGAGGAAUAAGCCACGGCUAACUACGUGCCAGCAGCCGCGGUAAUACGUAGGUGGCAAGCGUUAUCCGGAUUUACUGGGUGUAGAGGGCGUGUAGGCGGGGACGCAAGUCAGAUGUGAAAACCACGGGCUCAACCUGUGGCCUGCAUUUGAAACUGUGCUUCUUGGGUACUGGAG
rnacentral:rRNA from 1 species